CUAGUUCAUUGGUGUGAACCGGCUCAUUGAUUUGGUGGUCAGCCAAUUCAUCUUUGUGUGUUGUUUGGUGGUUAGCCAACACAUUCAUUCUUUCUUUGGUGGUUAGUCUUAGAUUUUGAGUAUAUCAAGAGUCAUUCCGCAUCUCUUGACGAUCCUUUCAAUCCAUCUCAGUUCCAGAAGUGUUGUUUGCCUUCUCGGAUCAUAUCCAACACCCAACUAAAGUGAUCCUCCCUAUCUUAGGGUUCUUCAGUUGAUAUCAGAGCCACUUUGGCUGCUUUGUUUUCAUUCUUCUUUUCAUCUUCUCAUAUCUUCAUCAUUUUCUUUUCUUAUUUCUUUUUGGAUCCGUGCUGUUCCUUUACUCCCUUGUGACCGCCAUUUAAAAAAAAAUCGAUAACUUAUAUAAAAAAAAGAGAUCUACGAUUUGAUUU
rnacentral:lncRNA from 1 species